rnacentral:lncRNA from 10 species
ACACCAGCUUCUCCCCACAGCACCAACAAUCCUGUCAGCUUCUUCCCAGGCAGCAGCAGGCCUCACAUCCCCACCAAAAGGGACACCAUUGUGAUAGCCUGGGCUGCAGAGAUGCACGCCCUGCAGGGACAGCUGUAGGUCUUGGCACAGAUACAGUGGCCUGGGCUAAUCUUGAGCUGGGCCUUUGCCUCCUGGGUUACUGAUGAGAAGCUCUGAGGCUGAGGCCAGUGGAUGCCCCCCAGACCUCUCCACUCUCCCCAAGCACCCAAGGCCAGUUCUAUGACUGUCCUGGUGAGUGCCAGAUGCAGGGAAAGUGGCCCCCUGUGUGGGGCAGGUGGCUUCUGCAUUUCUGAUUAGGGGGCCAGGAAGGAGGCAUUCAGGAGAAAACACCAAGUCAGAAAAAAGGUUCCCAGGACUGGGGACGAAAGACUCAGAAGGAGGGGAAAGAGGAAGAAAGCUGUAGGGGAAGGGAAGGGAGGGGGAUGAGAAAAACGCUGGGGAACACCACUGAAGUUACUUCAAGCUAGCAACACUGGACGCUCAGGUCUUCUGUUGCAUGGGUUACCGGGUUACAUGCCAAGGGCUCAGUGGCUGCCUGUGGCUGGUGGCUCCUGUACGGGACAAUGAAGAUACAGAACUCGUCCAUCAUCACAAAAAGUACUACUGGACGGCACUGGCAAAGCCUAACCACAUGUAAACUUUACUCAGGACAUGAGGGGUUCCUGGCCUUCCGCCCCCACCCCCGGGAGCCUGGGGCCUUGGGUUUAGGCUGUCACUCAAACCCAGGGUCUCCCCACCUCGCCACUGUGGGCAUUUGUGGCCAACCACUGCCUGUGAUAGGGACUGUCCUGGGCACUGUAGGGUGUUGAGCAACAACCAAAACCUAUCAGAUGUCACCCAGUGUCACCCUGUUGACAGCCACUGCUCUAAAUGGAAACAAUGUGGCUUUGGGGUGAAAGGGGACCUGGGGGAAGUCUGGAUCUGUCUCCAGAGCUUGGAGCUCCCGUGGGCCUGGCAGACGCUGGGGGUCCAGGGUCACAGGCUGAACCUGAGAUGUUCCAACAGGAGGGGCCUGCCUGAGGGCCUGGGCUCAGAAAUGAGGGGGCAGGAGUACAUGCAGAGGGGACCCCUGCCUAGGGAGCUCAGGUCCUGCCUUGCAGGGACCUGAGGGGCCAGGCUGGAGGGAAGAAAAACUAGAGACCAGAAGAUUCUAGAACACCAGAUACAGCUAUAGCAGAAGGCAAGGGGACUUAGAGUGAUUUGGGCACUAGGAUCAGGGCUGAUGCGGGAGGGCAGGCAGGAGUGCUGGGGGGUUGCCUUGGUGGGGUUCGGGGAGGGGACUGAGCUGGGGUCAGGGACAAUCAAGAAUUCCUGGAGGGCAGCAAAGUAAAGAGGUUAAGCUGAGAGGCAAGGAGGCAUCAAAGGAAGCGAAGAGGUGGGGACCAAGGGGACCCCAAGGAGUCAGGACUGAGGGGGCUGCCUGAGUGGGAGAAGAAAGGAGUCUGGGCCACAGGAUUCUGAGGAAUCUCACUCCUGAGUUGGGACCAGUGGGAGCCAUGAGCCUGGGAAGAAAAGGGGCCCUGAUGCGGGGCCAGGCCUGGGCUGGAGAUCAGAGCCAGCAGGCCUCACGGAGCAGGAUGUGAGCAGGGGGCACAAAACGCAGGGAAACCCAGGGGCUGUGGGCCACUAAGGGCUGGGGACAGCACAUCAGGGCCCUUGGCCUGGCCGAAGCACAGCCAGGAGGUUUAACUCCAGGUGGAGUGGGCAGAGGUUGGUACUCGGGUCACAUGGGCAUGGCAGUUAGUACAUGGACCCGGAGAUGCCUGGACUGGGGCCUGGGCACUGGAAGUUAGAAUGGGGGACUUUGGUAAUGGGGAUUGGCCAGGGAGGAGCUGGCAUCGAGGGGCCACAGGAGACAGAAACUAGGCAAGGCAGCUUGACCUCGGCCCGCUGGGAAUCAGGGGUCUAGGAAAAGGAGGAGUUUGGCGUGAAGGUGAGAGGCACGGGUUCCAGGGCACAUAGCCCUUGUCAAGGGUGGGCCCAUGGCUGUGGAAGGGAGUGCUGUGGAUUAUUGGACACUGGGCAGGGAGAGGCAGGGUCCAAGACAGCCAGGCUCUGCCUUGGCUGGGGCCUAAGUAAGGGUUUGGGGACCCAAGAGAGGUCUGUAGGCUGGAAAUGAGCUGGACAGGCCAGAGUUACAGGGCCUAAAGCCUGGGAACAGUGACCGGGCUGAGGGAUGGGGCAGGCUGGCCCUGGGAGGCCGAGGGGUCCAGGGGUUCCAUGCACUGCAGGUCACCCUGCUGCAUGGAUAGAUGGUGAAUGUGGUUUUGGCAUGGGCAGUGGCACAGCGGGAAGAAGACUGUGAAGCCAGCAGCAGGGACAGCCACG